rnacentral:lncRNA from 1 species
UUCACUUCAGAAGACAUUUUAUUGGUAUCAUAAAAUUGUAUAAGUGGGGUGAAUCUAGCCUAGCAGUUCUAUGAAAUAACAAGUGACUUGCUGACUUUCAUUCAGUGAGAAUCAAUAUCCACAAAAAUUUCACAUAGCCUACCUUAGACAUUGAGUGUUUGCAUUCUGGAAAAGAUUUUAAACUUAUGAGUUCAUAGCACUUAAAUUUGACAUUGAUGUUUUACUACAGAUUCAGCAUUUCUGUGUCUGAUAUUUCUUACAAACACAAAAUCUCACUUUAAAAUAUUACAAUGGCAUUAAUCACAUGUUUAAGCUCAGAAAUAUGGAUUUAAGAGUUACAGGAGUGGAUAUUUCUGGUUUUCAUUUUAAAGCCAACAGGAAGCAUGAGGAUAAUCAUAAGUCAGAACAACCUUAAAAAGGUUGUUAAACACAUAAAUAUGUAUUUUAAAACAUCUCCUUAAUAAUACCCUAUAGAAACAGAAAUAUAAGUGAAGAGAAUCACUCCAAAUUAAUGAAAGUU